rnacentral:misc_RNA from 1 species
GUUACGCUAUUUCGCGCUGACACUCAGAAGUAACAUCGCUGAAGAUUUUGGUUUCGGUAGCUCCGGCGGGUGCCUGACGGCCGGGGGCCCCCCCUGGGGCGACCCGCCGGAGCAUGAUUUCUCGGGGUAUGUGCACAGUGGUUUGGGAGUCUGGAGACUCUGUAAUGAUCCCUCCGCUGGUUCACCAACGGAGA